GGUUGACCAUGCUUAAUUAGGAUUGAGUGUGCCAUGGCACUCAUUGGUAGAAGUCAUAAAUGAAAGCAAAAUUUGUUGUGUUUUUUUACUCCACCAAUAAAACACAUAGAACAUUGUUUGGACUAUUUUGAUAUGAGAAAUAGAAUAAACUAUUGUCGAUGUCUGUGUAAUUAAUUGUGAAAAGCAAAGUGUUUUUUAGAAGUUUUUAUUUUGUGGAAAUGGUAUGAUUUUUAAAAUAAUUCAAAAUUUGCAUAGUGAAUUAUUUGAUAGUGGAUUCAUUUAACAAUUCUUUAUUUGCCCAAUCAAGCUUAUAUUUACUUUUGUUUUUCUUUUUUCUAUUUCAGUGUGGUGUUUUUGAAACACAAGACAAGAUUAUUAUUGAAUGUGAGAGUGUUCAUUAUAGUAUGGAAUUUUAUGCAAAAAGUUAUAAGAAAGAGCAAGAUUUGUAAACCACCAGUUAUAAAAUUGGAGCACAAUUGGAUUGCAAAAUACUAUGACAAUAGUGAAGUCAUGCAUAUCUGUACUAUAAUGGUUGCAUUAAUGAAUGAAAAUAAUUGGUUGUAACUAAAAUGUGAUUGCACAAUUUUGAAACCUCAAAAGAAACAAAAUACAAUGAAUUAAGACAAAAGGCCAAAUAUCAAAACAAAUAACCACAUUGUUAAUAAUAUGAAUUGUUUUAUAUUUUUAUAUUUUUGUGUUGAUUGAACUGAUGAUGUAAUUUUGAUGCAAGUAGUUUUACUUAUUUAUUUACUUGUAAUUUAUAGAGAUAUAAAUGUUUAAAUGUGUGUAUGUCUGAAUUUAAAAUUGAUGAAAUUAGUAACAGAUGCCUGUGUGUCUACACACCACAUCAAUUAGUAUUAUCAUACUAAUUACAAUAAAAAUAUUUAUGUUGAUUUUAUUUUUUAAAAGAGUUCUAAAUUUUUAAAAAAUAAA
rnacentral:lncRNA from 1 species